rnacentral:rRNA from 1 species
UACGUAGGGGGCAAGCGUUGUCCGGAUUUAUUGGGCGUAAAGCGCGUGUAGGCGGCCAGGUAGGUCCGCUGUGAAAACCCGAGGCUCAACCUCGGGACGUCGGCGGAAACCAUCUGGCUAGAGUCCGGAAGAGGAGAGUGGAAUUCCCGGUGUAGCGGUGAAAUGCGCAGAUAUCGGGAAGAACACCCGUGGCGAAGGCGGCUCUCUGGGACGGUACUGACGCUGAGGUGCGAAAGCCAGGGGAGCGAACGGG